AAGUCGUAACAAGGUUUCCGUAGGUGAACCUGCGGAAGGAUCAUUAAAGAGUUAGGGUCUUCAUGGCCCGAUCUCCCACCCUUUGCUGUCGAACAAAUCUUGUUGCUUUGGCGGGACCGCCUCGUCUCACGACGGGCUGCCGGGUCUCGUAUCGGGUAAGCGCCCGCCAGAGACCAACUCAACUCUUCGUUAAACAUUCGUCCGAGUAAAUGAUUAAAUAAAUCAAAA
rnacentral:misc_RNA from 1 species